GGAUUUUCGAUUUGAAAACUUGUAAUUCGUCUGUGCUGGAUCUUGGCUAGUGACUUCUCGCUUGAUAAAUAAACUCAGGCUGGAGGACCGGGUGUUAUUCUGAAGCUAAUGCACGAGUAGCGUGGCAACUUUCUUUACGACCUACUUGUGUGCUUCUGGAUGGCUCAAGGAACACAGAGACGAAAAAGAAGAAACGGACCAUCUACUGGGGGCACCUACUAAGGUCGAAAGUACAUUAGCUUGAAGGGACAAAACACUCACUAUGCCAUUUUUCAGGCUGAGCGAGGAAAAAACCUUUCCACCUGCCCCUGCCUCUCUAAUGCCACUGAAAUGCUUCUGGUGUCGCUUCCCAAGUUGUCCCCACAGGAGAAGCUCCUUACCUCUUUAGGGGACUGGAGAGAUGGCUCAACGGUUAAGAACACUGACUGUUCUUCCAGAGGUCCUGAGUUC